GACGAACGCUGGCGGCGUGCUUAACACAUGCAAGUCGAGCGGUAAGGCCCUUUCGGGGUACGACGAGCGGCGAACGGGUAGGAGUAACACGUGGGUGGACCUCGCCUCCUAGCUCUGGGAGUAAGACCUGGGAAGGCUGGGUCGUAAUACCGGAUAUGACCUCGCGGUGCAUGUUGCGGGGUGGAAAGCCUUGUGCGGCUAGGGAGUGGGCCCGCGGCCUAUCAGCUUGUUGGUGGGGUGGAUGGCCUACCAAGGCGACGACGGGUAGCCGGCCUGAGAGGG
rnacentral:rRNA from 1 species